GGAAGGAUGCCAGAGUGGUUGAAUGGGGCGGUCUCGAAAACCGUUAUGCGCGUGAGUGUAUCGAGGGUUCGAAUCCCUCUCUUUCCGCCA
rnacentral:tRNA from 1 species